GCACUGCUGAGGAGUCCCAUAAUAGAACGAAACGGUAGUCCAAUGC
rfam:Schistosoma margrebowiei strain Zambia genome assembly, scaffold: SMRZ_scaffold0000058